rnacentral:lncRNA from 1 species
CAAAAUCAAAUGCUUCAGCCAUUUAACGGGUUCAUAGCGGAAUUCAAAGAUCGCAUAGCCACACAAGUGAAAAAAUCUCGUACUGCAAUUCGGGAGGAAACAAAAAUACACGAGGGCCAUAUCCAAAAAUCGCGGUAUAUCUCAAGACUCAUCAUAUUUACAAAUUACUCAAAAUGGUCGGAUGCAGAGACACCCAAACAGAGACUUGUUAUAUUUUUGGGUCUCCCCUGCUUCUGAAGUCCUAAUUAGGACCCCAACAGCUCAAGUACAUGACUUUUCUCAGCGCCUCCUCCGAUCGCUUGGCCUUCUCAUCGGCCCCCUCCGAUCCUUUCCUCCUCCCAAUGUCAGAAGAAGAAGAGGAAGAAGACACCCUCCGGGUCUGAGAGAAGGAACGGAUGUUGCUCUUGGCUUGCUGGUUGAGAGAUCUGAUGACAUAGUUCCAACGGCACAGCCCUGCUGGGUCCUUGAGAGCUUC